rnacentral:rRNA from 1 species
CCAAGCUACUAAGAGCCAACGGUGGAUGCCUUGGCACUGACUACCGAUGAAGGUCGUGAGAGGCUGCGAUAAGCCGCGGG